rnacentral:rRNA from 1 species
GGGUGAGUAAUAUAUCGGAACGUACCCUGGAGUGGGGGAUAACGUAGCGAAAGUUACGCUAAUACCGCAUACGAUCUAAGGAUGAAAGUGGGGGAUUCGCAAGAACCUCAUGCUCCUGGAGCGGCCGAUAUCUGAUUAGCUAGUUGGUAGGGUAAAAGCCUACCAAGGCAUCGAUCAGUAGCUGGUCUGAGAGGACGACCAGCCACACUGGAACUGAGACACGGUCCAGACUCCUACGGGAGGCAGCAGUGGGGAAUUUUGGACAAUGGGCGCAAGCCUGAUCCAGCAAUGCCGCGUGAGUGAAGAAGGCCUUCGGGUUGUAAAGCUCUUUUGUCAGGGAAGAAACGGUGUUUUCUAAUACAGAGCGCUAAUGACGGUACCUGAAGAAUAAGCACCGGCUAACUACGUGCCAGCAGCCGCGGUAAUAUGUAGGGUGCAAGCGUUAAUCGGAAUUACUGGGCGUAAAGCGUGCGCAGGCGGUUUUGUAAGACUGUCGUGAAAUCCCCGGGCUCAACCUGGGAAUGGCGAUGGUGACUGCAAGGCUAGAGUUUGGCAGAGGGGGGUAGAAUUCCACGUGUAGCAGUGAAAUGCGUAGAUAUGUGGAGGAACACCGAUGGCGAAGGCAGCCCCCUGGGUCAAAACUGACGCUCAUGCACGAAAGCGUGGGGAGCAAACAGGAUUAGAUACCCUGGUAGUCCACGCCCUAAACGAUGUCUACUAGUUGUCGGGUUUUAAUUAACUUGGUAACGCAGCUAACGCGUGAAGUAGACCGCCUGGGGAGUACGGUCGCAAGAUUAAAACUCAAAGGAAUUGACGGGGACCCGCACAAGCGGUGGAUGAUGUGGAUUAAUUCGAUGCAACGCGAAAAACCUUACCUACCCUUGACAUGGCAGAAAUCCCGGAGAGAUUUGGGAGUGCUCGAAAGAGAAUCUGCACACAGGUGCCGCAUGGCUGUCGUCAGCUCGUGUCGUGAGAUGUUGGGUUAAGUCCCGCAACGAGCGCAACCCUUGUCAUUAGUUGCUACGAAAGAGCACUCUAAUGAGACUGCCGGUGACAAACCGGAGGAAGGUGGGGAUGACGUCAAGUCCUCAUGGCCCUUAUGGGUAGGGCUUCACACGUCAUACAAUGGUACAUACAGAGGGCCGCCAACCCGCGAGGGGGAGCUAAUCCCAGAAAGUGUAUCGUAGUCCGGAUUGUAGUCUGCAACUCGACUGCAUGAAGUUGGAAUCGCUAGUAAUCG